CUCUGUUUAUCUAUUUAUCCCUGUUUUGUCUUGUUUGCCGGCUUACUGACUACUGUGUACCAGACCUUGGCUAGUUUUUGUUCUCGCAGUCUCUUUGUUCCCUUGACCUCGGCUUGUUCUUGACUCUGUCUAUUCUCUGCUAUACGGCGAGUCCGGCCAUUCUAAGGUCCGGUAAGUCGUAUCUGCUCUAUCUGUCGGUUGUUGGACUAAAUUGUGCGUAUAGGGGUAAACUACCGUGACACCUCAGCCCUGAAGCUGGCCAAAAAUGGGAAAAGCCCAGGACCGGACGGCUUUACCACCAAAUAUUACAAGACAUUCUUUAAGACCCUGGCC